rnacentral:rRNA from 1 species
CUUGGUCAUUUAGAGGAAGUAAAAGUCGUAACAAGGUCUCCGUAGGUGAACCUGCGGAGGGAUCAUUACAAGAACGCCCGGGCUUCGGCCUGGUUAUUCAUAACCCUUUGUUGUCCGACUCUGUUGCCUCCGGGGCGACCCUGCCUUCGGGCGGGGGCUCCGGGUGGACACUUCAAACUCUUGCGUAACUUUGCAGUCUGAGUAAACUUAAUUAAUAAAUUAAAACUUUUAACAACGGAUCUCUUGGUUCUGGCAUCGAUGAAGAACGCAGCGAAAUGCGAUAAGUAAUGUGAAUUGCAGAAUUCAGUGAAUCAUCGAAUCUUUGAACGCACAUUGCGCCCCCUGGUAUUCCGAGGGGCAUGCCUGUUCGAGCGUCAUUAUGACCACUCAAGCCUAGCUUGGUAUUGGGGUUCGCGGUCUCGCGGCCCUUAAAAUCAGUGGCGGUGCCAUCUGGCUCUAAGCGUAGUAAUUUAUCUCGCUAUUGGGUCCGGUGGUUGCUUGCCAACAACCCCCAACUUCUAAGGUUGACCUCGGAUCAGGUAGGGAUACCCGCUGAACUUAAGCAUAUCAAUAAGCGGAGGA